GAUGAACGCUGGCGGCGUGCUUAACACAUGCAAGUCGAACGAAGCACUUAUCUUUGAUUCUUCGGAUGAAGAGGUUUGUGACUGAGUGGCGGACGGGUGAGUAACGCGUGGGUAACCUGCCUCAUACAGGGGGAUAACAGUUAGAAAUGACUGCUAAUACCGCAUAAGACCACAGAGCCGCAUGGCCCAGUGGGAAAAACUCCGGUGGUAUGAGAUGGACCCGCGUCUGAUUAGGUAGUUGGUGGGGUAACGGCCUACCAAGCCGACGAUCAGUAGCCGACCUGAGAGGGUGACCGGCCACAUUGGGACUGAGACACGGCCCAAACUCCUACGGGAGGCAGCAGUGGGGAAUAUUGCACAAUGGGGGAAACCCUGAUGCAGCGACGCCGCGUGAGCGAAGAAGUAUUUCGGUAUGUAAAGCUCUAUCAGCAGGGAAGAAAAUGACGGUACCUGACUAAGAAGCACCGGCUAAAUACGUGCCAGCAGCCGCCGUAA
rnacentral:rRNA from 1 species